CUAAUAACUUAUGACUAAAACUCAAUAAAAACUUAGCCUGACACUUCACUCAAAACAAGAGUA
rnacentral:rRNA from 1 species